AUUGAACGCUGGCGGCAUGCCUUACACAUGCAAGUCGAACGGUAACGCGGGGCAACCUGGCGACGAGUGGCGAACGGGUGAGUAAUGCAUCGGAACGUGCCCGGUAGUGGGGGAUAACUGCUCGAAAGAGCAGCUAAUACCGCAUACGACCUGAGGGUGAAAGGGGGGGAUCGCAAGACCUCUCGCUAUCGGAGCGGCCGAUGUCGGAUUAGCUAGUUGGUGGGGUAAAAGCCCACCAAGGCAACGAUCCGUAGCUGGUCUGAGAGGACGACCAGCCACACUGGGACUGAGACACGGCCCAGACUCCUACGGGAGGCAGCAGUGGGGAAUUUUGGACAAUGGACGCAAGUCUGAUCCAGCCAUGCCGCGUGCGGGAAGAAGGCCUUCGGGUUGUAAACCGCUUUUGUCAGGGAAGAAAUCUUCUGAGUUAAUACCUCGGGAGGAUGACGGUACCUGAAGAAUAAGCACCGGCUAACUACGUGCCAGCAGCCGCCGUAACAC
rnacentral:rRNA from 1 species